rnacentral:rRNA from 1 species
UACGUAGGUGGCAAGCGUUGUCCGGAUUUACUGGGCGUAAAGAGCGCGCAGGCGGUCGAAUAAGUCGAAUGUGAAAGCCCCCGGCUUAACUGGGGAGGGUCAUUCGAUACUGCUCGACUUGAAGGCAGGAGAGGGUAGUGGAAUUCCCGGUGUAGUGGUGAAAUGCGUAGAUAUCGGGAGGAACACCAGUGGCGAAGGCGGUCUCCUGGGGCAUUCUUGACGCUGAGGCGCGAAAGCGUGGGGAGCGAACAGG